AGGGGUGUUGGUGCCGCGCCGCGCCGCGCCUUGGUUCCCGGAGCAGCUCGGCAGGCAUCGCUCCUCGGUGCGGCUCUGGGAGCCACCGCGGCCGUCUGUGAGGGGGGGUGGCGGUGAGGAGAGGCGGCCCCGACGGGGCCGCGGUGCAACGCACGGCGCUGGGAGCGGCCCCGGAUACCGUCCAGGUGUUUUCACAACAGUGGAAAACCGCAUUGUGUAAAGGAACAGUAAGCCAUGUGGGUAAAUGCGAACAGCAGUUUAAACGUGCAGGAAAGGAGCAUUUCCUUGUCUGCCCUGGUAAAUGGUUCUCCUACAGCCCCACGUGACGUGUCCUGUCUGCCAGCCAAGGAGGGCUGGCUGUGACAGCUUCAUGGCCCCUCAGCUCUGCUCCUCACAAUGAGCGUGAGCCUUGACAAGUCUGGAGGUCCAGCGGUGUCCAGCUGACUUGUGUGCUCUCUGGCAGUUGGGAACCAGCGCAGCGUCUGCCUGCAGCGUUUCCAGUGGUUGGAGGAGGACGAAAAGUGCACAGCCUCUGUUGCAUGAAGGUGAGAGUUGGAAUUCUGCAGAAUUUGUCCAGAUUCUGUGCUGACUUCUCGAGAAAGCAGUGAGGAAGAAGAUUAAUUGAAAUCUGUCUCAUUCGGGGUCCAAGAGUUGUGGUAGCGAAACCUUCCUUCUGCAUCCUUCUUUCUGUCACCGCUCUCAGCAUUGCUUUGGGAGAGCGUUCUGAGCUCGCUGAAUGUGAGGCUCUUCCUUUUCACUGAUCCACUCCAUAAGCAACCUGUGUUGUGAUUCAUUCAUUGAGGAUAUGGAUGUAGCAAAGCCUUACUAAUGUUCCAGAACUGUGUUUUGGAUACUGUGAGGGCUUCAGGAGUAUUGGAAAGCUUUUGAAAUCUUCAGGGCUUGCAUUAUAAGCCUUCAAAAUGUAGAAAGCCCAGUUGGGUCAGCUGUGCAGGGUACCAGAGCAGAGUGGAGAGCUGAUGACAUAAUCCAGAUAAAGCAAAAACACCCAACCUGCUGUCCAUACAUAAAGGUAUGAGAGUCUACUUGGCCGAUUCCCCUUGAAAAGCCUGCAGCUGUUUCCAUACCGACUCCCACCCACCCACCCACCUGUGAGUCCAGUGUCACCUCAGCCAGGGGAGCUUGCGUGCACACAGAAUGGAAGUGGAAGAUGAGCCCCUUCCGACCUUUAACAAAAAUAAAAUGGAGAUGGCAGUUGUUUUUCUGUCUUUAAAGACAAAAACCUUUUUUGCACAUCUUUUGGCUUGAUGACGGGAGCAGGUGUUCUCCCACAGAUACGGCUCUGUGCUGGGACCACUGCUGGCUGGUCUGGUGUGUGAAGGGUUGGUAAAUGCCCGAUGGGGAGCAAAGGUACUGGAAAGGAGUGGGCUGUUAAAUCUCGCUGGUACUGAACAAAUGUAAUAGCUGUCUUCAGUGUAAUUCAUAGCACAUAGGGGGAAUUCAGAAGGUAUUGUAUUUGUAGCUCUUAACGAACAGUUGAUUUCCUGACAUGAGUAAAUCUGUUAAAAAGCUGGGUAUGUAGCAAGCAGAUACAAAUGUCAUGGCAUAGAUUCUGUAUUGGCUGACGUGCAGGGAAGAGAGUAAUAGCAAUGCAGAGACCUCCGAGUAUGAAAUCCUAUAAAGCAUUUUUUUGGAGACAUCAGUGCUGGGGCCCAAUUUGUUGUGCCUUUUAUGUAAAACAUUUCUGCAGUUCCAUUUGUGACCCUAAACCAGGCUUUGUCAAGUCAGACCUGCGGAAUAUGGGAUGGAAGUCUUCAUUUUUAAAGCCCCGAUGAAAGACACUGAAUAACCACAAUGUGAAUGUCCUCUGCUGUUCUUACCACCAAACGCUUUGGUCCUGGACCUACUCACCGAGCUACUGAAGCGAUGUUCAAAUGGAAACAGUGAUAUGCUGGUAGUGUCCCCAUCAUGGAGGAGCACAAAGGGGUGGUCAAGGGAUAGGAGAAGAAAGGAAGAAUGUCCUUUGUUUCUUCCCUCUGGGACCUUCAAGAGCUGUUGAUAAACAUAAAGAUAGAAAAUACACACAUAAAGAUAGUAGUUCUAAGGGUUGGAAAAGAUAAUGUGAGGCACCCAAGGUUUUUCCCAGGUCAGAAAGCUUUGGAACUGUCCCAGAGUUCAGUUUCUGUGAUCUUCAUUUUGCUGAGCAGUUCAUGGCAGCAGAGAGGACUCGUUGGUGUCCGGACAAAGAGGGAAGAGGAAACCAAGCUGUAAAGAUGUGUGGAAAAGCAAGGAAUUAAUUACUGCUUGCACUGGUUGUUUGUCGCCUUACUGCCCUUCUUGCCUCCCUGGAGCCCAGCUGACUUCCUGGGAUUGCUGAACGGCUGCCUUUUGCCACCUCCUGCCUGUCGCAUCGAACACCAGGGCGAAUUGGGUGGCUCUACAUGUAACACUACAACAAACGUGACAGACGAAGACCCAUCCCUGCGGAGCAGCACUACUCCCUCCACGUUCUCCAGAACCAUCGGCGCAACCUGGGCCUGGUGGGCGGCACAUCUUCCAGCACGCUGAGGAUCAGCAGUGUCUGCAGCACCAGACAGCGCACGGCCGGCUCGCUGUCCUCCUUGGCUCCCUCCAGGGCUGCAAUGGAGCGGUGCUGUGUCACCACGUGGGCCCCACACGGCACUUCCUGGGGCACGGGGCAGCGGGGGGGGAUGGCUCACCUUUACGGAUGUCCGACAUCUUCUCCCGGUUCUCAUUCCUCAGCUUUCGCCCUAGCAGCCCUGCGCACAUGGCUGCUGUCAGCGCUCACCCGUCCCCGCGGCGCCCAGGGACCUCACAGCAUCCCAUGGACCCCCACGGUGCUCCAAGGACCUCCAAAAACCCCAUACUACCCUAAUAGUGUCCCCAUCAUCCCCAGCAACCCUUCAGUGUCUCAGGGACCCUAUGGUGCCCCAGUGACCCCUGUGGUGCCCAGCUGCCCCCAAGGACCCCAGAGACCCAACACAAUGCUUCAGUGAACCCCAUAGUGCCCCAGUAAGCCUAGUGUUGCCCUAAUAACUCCCAAGAACCCCACCAUUUCCCCAGUGACCCCCCAGGACCCCCCCUGUGCACCGACCCCACAGCAUUCAGCUGGAGGGAUGGGGACCCACUGGGGAUGGGACUCACCGAGGAAGCGCACGGCCGUGUCCCUCACGGGCACCUGGGGGCUGUGCAGGUGCAGCACCGUGUCCUUCAGGUACUGCUCCGCAUCUCUGCCCCUCUUCUGAAGCUGCAGAGAGCAUGGUGGGGGUGGCACCCGCAGAGUGGCUUCCCGACCCCCCUUCUGCAGGGGAGCAAGGGGGGUCCGGAGGGGUUGAGGGGUGGGGGUCCUUACCAGACAGUCAGCAAUCAUCCAGACCUCCGCCGCACAGGCCAAGCGUUGCAGUUGCUGCCAGCCCAGGAGCUUGGCGGCGUGGAUCAGAGCUUUCUGAGCAGCCUGGGGAGCAGUGACACAGGGGGGUGUUGGUGGGAGAUCCUGGGGGAACCCCCAUCCCAAACCUGGGUCAGCGCCAUAGCCGAUCCCGUCCCACAGGUUCUGGGGGAACGGGGUGGGGGAUGUGGGAGGGUUUUCCUAACCUUAAUGACUGUGUGGGUGGGUGAGGCGGAGGGGGGAACUGGGAGGACUGUAUGGGUGGAUAUGAGGUGGAGAUCUGGUAUCUAGGAGGACUGUACACGUGGGCACAGGGCAGGGAGUAGUUGCUGGUCACACCGGAUAACCUCGCGACCCCGUGACCCCACAAGCUGCCCCCACCUGCGCCACGUUGGGGAUGUCCUCAUUCAUGUGGAUGAAGAGUGGCAGCAGACUCCUCUCCGCCUGCAGCAGCAGCCGCUUCCUGCCUGGCGCCUCCAGCAGCAGCGCAAAGAGCUCCAUGGAGCGCCAGCGCACCUCUGCGUUGUCCUGGGAGGAAACACACACGGGGUAGUGCUGAGCUCUGCACGGUGCGGGGGCUGCUUGAAUGCUCCCCGCUGCCCUGCGUCCCUCACCUCAUUGAAGCAGGACAGCAGCUGCACGGCCAGCUGGCUGAGCACACCUCGGAUGCUGGCGGGGUGCUGUGCCGCAAUGUCCUGCAGCAGAUGUAUGGCCUGCAGUUUGAUGUCAGCCCGCAUGUCCUGCAGCCACAGCAGCGCGUCGGGUAGCAGCAGCUGCAUCCUCCCAGCAUAAAGGUUCCUCAGCCCGCGCAGCGCCAGCUCUCUGCUCUUGGGCUGUUUGCUGCGGAUGUAUUUCCUGAAGAUCUUCUGCGGGCAGGUGUCAUCCUCGUGGUGCCCCUGGCAGCUCCACAGCUGCGAUGAGUGGCGGUCAGUGGGCGGGAGGGGGCCCAUCCUCCCAAGGAGACCCCCCCACACCGUCUCCACACCCACCUCGAGGUAGAACGCCAUGGCGGGGACCUCCCUCCACUGCAGCUGGUGGUACUGCAGCAGAUUCUGCAGGUGUCUGAAGAUGGGUCUGCACUGAUCCCGGCAGUUCUUCAGCAUCACCCUGCGGGGCAGGGGGAGGGCUGAAGCCGGGCUGGGGGGCUGACCCCACUGGGUCUGGGCUGGAGUAGGGGGACCGGAACAGCCCAUGCCGCCCCACAGUGUGCUCUUCCAUCUGCCCACCGUGCCUCAGCACCCCCUGAGCACUCUCCUUGUUCCCUACUUAUUUCGGGAGCGCUGCACUUGGGGCACCGUGUAGGGCAGUGUGUGGGGCAGUGCGUGGGGCAGAGCAUGGAAGGGGUUGGGGCCGUACUUGGCAAGGGAGUGUAGGCCGUUUUGCCACGUGGCAGCGCCCUGCAGCCGCGCCCACAGGUUGUGGGUGUCCAUGGAGAACGCCAGGUUGUCCAUCUCAGCGCACAGUAGCAAACUGUGGGCCGUCUCCACCACCAUCCUGCAUGGAAACGGGGCAGCAUUGGGUCAGCACAGGGUCGGGGGUCAGAGGUCAGUGAGGGGCCAGGGCACAGUGCAGAGUCAGGGUUCAAUCAGAAGUCAUCAUGCAGUCAGGAGUCAGUGUGGGGUCAGGAGUCAGCAGGGGCUCAAAGGUCAGCGUGGGGUCAGGGGUCAGUGUGGGUGGUGCCGCGGGGUCAGAGCGGGCACUGCGGUGUUACCUGAUGGCAGAGGUGGGCGCAGAUGGGCGGAAUGGGUCCUCCGUGAUGGCGGUGAUCUCCAGCGGAGCUAGCGGCCCGGCGGACACCAGCUGGAUGAUGAGCGCCACAAAGAGCUCCGGGAAAACCAGUCGCACCUGUGGGCCGUAGUCCAGGUACUGCAGGAGCUUAUGCAGUGCCGUGGCCGCCUGCGGAAAGCACCCGGACAGCACUCAGCACUGAGCUGCUCCCCUGGGUUUGGGGGGGUGGGGGGGAGUGUUCCCAGAGGACCCCCAAACUCACGGCCGUGUGAAGGACGCCGACCUCGGUCUUCUGGCCCAGCGGCACGGUCUCCAGCUGAUGCAGCAGCGCCUGCACCAUCUUUGGCACCGCAUCCACCGAGGACAGCGCCAACUCCCACAGCUCCCAUAUGUCCCUGCGGCACAGAGCUGUCCUCAGCGGGAGCCCCUCUCUGAGUGGGGUGGGAGUCCUUCUGUAUAUGGGGUGGGUGUUGUUCUAUGUGUGGGGUGAGGGUCCCUCUGCACCACAGGUGAAGGUCCCAUGGGGGGUGGUCUCCCUCUCCGUGUGGAGUGGGGGCCUCUCUCCGUGUGGGGUGGGGGUCCCUAUCCACGUGGGGUGGAGGUCCCUGUCCUUGGGGGGUGGGGGUCCCCCUCUGCGGGGGGCGGGGGCAGCGCACUUGUCGCAGGUGGGGGAGCAGCGCAGCAGGCUGAGUGUCAUUGCGCGAGGGUUGGCGGCAGCUAGUGAGGCGAAGCUGCUGCGGAUGGUCCUCAGUGCCUGCUCCUCUGUGAUCAGCUUCCUGCUCCUGUGGAUGGCCGUCACGAUGCGCUGCACCUGGAAGGGUUGCAGGGACAGCAGAACUUCACUCCAGGCGUCCCCAGGAGUGACCAAGCGCCCUGAAGUCUCAAAUCAGACCGAUGCCGUGCAGGACAACCCAACCCAACACAGCCUUCCUGCACCCAACCCAACCCCGUUCUAACCGUCAGGACCCAACCCAACCCAACCCCACCUCCCAUGGGCUCAGCCCCCUGGCAAGCAGCUCCCAGUUGCUCACAUCAUUGGGCAUAGGGUUGAAGUCAACCGUCAGGAUGGCCAUCAAGGUGGAAGCCACCUGGGUGUUGUAGUUGCUGCAGUCCCUCAUGCCCUGCAGCGCCAGGAGGAUGAGAUCGGUCUUCUCUGAAGAGUGCAAGUGCUUCUCAAAGCGCUGGGGAGGAAUGAACGCAGAGGGGGGGAAGGAUGUCAGCCAUGCUCCCCCCACCCCCUGCGCCCAUGAGUCCUGGCGCGACAAUCCCUCCUCACCAGCAAAAUGACUGUGGUGUUGGUGGUCCAGGUGAGGGAGAACUCGUGGUCGGCUUCCCACUGCUCCAGUUUCCCCUGCUCGUCCAGCUGCCCUUCCCAGCCUGGAAAGGAGAGCAAGGCGCAGGUGCGUGAGCAGUGGCUGCCCUGCAGGGAGCUGGACAGCUGCCCCGGCCCCAAGCACGGGGCCGUGCGGCAAAGCUCCCCAGCACCAUGGGGUUCUUCACUGCUCUGAGCGGCAGCUGACGCAGAGGUCAGCAGCCGUUGCCUUACGGCUUCUCCACAGGACAAAUCUGUAGAGGUGACGGAGAGCGCUCAAAGCACAGCGGCAUGUUUUGUGCUCCUGGACAAAAGCGCAGCACAGGAUGAGGCAUCCCACCAGCUGCCCCAGCACGGGCAGGCGGAGCUCGUCAUAGCUGGCAGAUGGGGAUUGUUCCGAGGAGUGACGGGGCUGUACGUGGAGAGCAGAAAGUUGAGCGCACCCCCGGAGUGGGCAGAGCGUGGAAAAGGAGAGACAAAGACUCCACACUAUGGGGGUCGGGCCCUUACCUUCUCCUGGCAGUAAUGUGCCAGCGAAUGGGUCAGCUUCCAGAUGCGCCCCACUGCCCUCUGGCGCACGGUCGAGCUCUGUAAGGAGGUGAAGGGCAGCAGCACCUGUGGGAAGAGGAGGUGCUGCUCUGCCCUGUGGCCCCCUGGAUCACCCCAGAAGGUUUUUGGGGUGGUGGGGAUGGGGGGGGAACACUCCUCCUCUGUGUGCUCCCCAUGGGCAAGGCUCACCUGGAAGACGUCUUUCAGCUCCUCUCCGAUGCUGGUGCUGGGGUGAAUGAACACCAAUGAGUGCAGCAUCUCA